ensembl:snRNA U2 U2 spliceosomal RNA
AUACAUUCUAGGCCUUUUAGCCAAGAUCUGGUGUAGUAUCCAUUCUUGUCAAUUUAAUGCCAGACAUAUCUCUAGUUUGAGGUCUUGAUAUUACAUGGGUAUAAUAUCCAAGGUAAACUUGGGACUUGCUCUGUGCCUUCACAUAGCAAUGCAGUGCCCCUGAAGGAUCAGGG